CAGCACUACCCAAUAGGCCAACGCCAGCAAAAAGUGCCCUGUCUAGUAAAAAACCAGUAAGUCAGAUUCACUAUGAACUCACAUCGAACACCCUUUCUUCUUCGUUGCCCCUUCUCGACCAGUGCCACCACUUCCGCCCGACCACGCCGCUCUUCGCCGCCUUAACUGCAUGGCCGUCAUCAACUCCGGCAAAGGAGGUCAUGGCCAAUUCUAGAGGCAACAACGAGUCGGUGUGCAAUGUGGACAUGGCCAACAAUGAAUUCUUAAACACUUAUGGGUAUGUCAUCAAGACCGUGUAAGGGGAAAAUGAUGAGCUAAAGGUGGAGAUUAAAGAGCUACGCAAGGAGACUAUUCGGCGCGUUAAGGAGACUAAUUAGCUUAGGGACGAGAGGGAUAAGUUCAUCGAGGAUCGGGACAAAUUGAAGGAGGAGAGGAGACUCCUCAAGGCUGAGAGGAUUGACCGGAAGAUGGACAUAGAUCAUUUCAGAAGACAGGGGGAGGGGGAUAGAAAGAAGCUUCGCUAGCUGGCAUACUCCUUGAAGAAGAUUAGUUUUUUAAGUAGCUAGCUAGUUCAUCUUAUUAGUUGAUGUUGAUCGAGUAACUAGAGUACUUGAUGAGCAACUUUUGUGAAGUUUAAUAUCAACUUGUUAAGUUCAUGAGCCUCUUCUGUAAUGAUUAUCUAUUAGGUAAGUACCUAGUGUUGGAUAGUAUAUUAUGUUCAUUAGUAUCUAUUAAGUAAGUAGAUAGUGUUGAUGAGCAAUUUUUGUUAUUACCAAAAAACCAUUUGCCGGCGUUGAA